UCCAUCUCGAAUAAAUGCUCCAACUGUGAUGGUUUCUAGUCUUGUUUGGGUCAUGGAUCCCCACCUGAAGAAGCUAUGGCUGUGAAGACAAGAGAAAGAAAAAGGGAGGCUAUGGACUCACUUUACCAGAAGAGCCGAGAUGUAAAUUUCCCUCUGUGUAUAGCUGGAGCUCCGGGCGUAUAGUGUGUUAAGAACUUAAAUUUUCAGUGGCAUCUCCCUUUCUCCUUCCCUUCCCUGUUGGUCUUUCUCUCUCAGUCCCUCCGUCUUCCUCCAUCUUUUUAUCCCUCCCUCUCUUCCUCCUUCCUGCCUUUGCUUGCUUCCCUUUCUUCCCUCUUUCCUCUUUUCUGCCUUGUUUCUUCUGCUCUUUCCAUGAGGUUGACCUCAGUCCUGCCAGGUUCUCUCCACUUGGUGGUAAAGAUGACUCCAAUAGCUUUGAGUGUUCUUGGGUUUUUGAGAAGAGACAGCCCUCUCCCCCAGCAGCCACAUCAGGCCUCUAGAGGGACUCUUAUUAGUCCUCUUGGGAUCAUACAUCCAGCCUCACUGGAUGUGGGAAAUGUAGUUUUCAAAGGAAAAAAAUAGAGCUCUAGUCUAGAAGAGAGACAAGAAAGCUGAGCAGGUGAAAACAGUAGCCUUGCCAUCACUUGGGUACAUACACAGAAUCAUCCAGAAAAAUAGAACUGUCCAUACAAGGGCUCCCCAGCCUUUGUAGCUCACCUGUGGAUCGCAGUGGAGGACCAGUUCCUGGUUUCUUUUUAAAUUUGAGUUCCAGGAAACAAGUGAUCGACUCUUGCCAUUGUUGCAAUUAAAUGGUAAUUGAUUAUUAGUGCUAGACAGUCUAUGUCAUGUGACCAAAUACCUUCAUUUUACAGAUGGAGAAACUGAGGCCCAGUCAGAAGUAGCUGAUCCAGGCAUAUGCGGUAAGUUCACUGCAAUCCCAGACUGUCCCUGGAGCUUCUGGUACAGGAGUAUGUGUGCCUGAAGACCCUCUGCAGAGGAGAGGAUGAGACAGAGCCUCCUCCCUGUUGGCCCUAGAAGACACAGAGUAAAUAGCAUUUUUUUUUUUUUUCUGUAUUUCAUGGACUCAGAGCUACCAGGUAUGAAAUUUUCUCACAGUCAGGAACGUUUGGGGGCAACCUGCAAAGUCAUGUGUCCUUUUCUUUAUGUUGCCUUUUUAUGGAAAAAGAACGUUUGUUAGACAAGAAUUUCUUACCUCAUAGAGCUCCCUGAAGCAGCCGGCUGGCUUUCAGGCCUGAUUAUAUGAGGCCAGCUGGCUGUCAGACGUAAUCUCUGCUCCUUUACGCACAAACUGGUCUGUUUGGAGGACAACUACCAGCUCAGACUUUGCGGGUCCACCUAUCCUUCAGUUCCAUCGAAGCAUGUAGAUAAGCAAAAGAUUUUGUUUUUUUUUUUUUUAUCUUAAAAAUCCACCUUGACUGCCUUGUAUCUUUGAACUGCUAUUUCAAAAAGAUUGGAGAGACUUUCUAAGUCUUGGGGUUUCUAAUCCAUAAUAAUAAUCACACUAAUAAGUAAACAGAUAAAAAUAAUUGAACAUGAUUGUGUAUUUGCUAGGAGCCAGGCCAUGUCACCAAGGACUCAUGUGCGCCCACUCCUUUAUUCCUGACAACGGUUCCAUGAGAUCGGUGCUGUCACGACCCAUGUUUCACAGUGAGGGGAAUGGAGGCCCACAGAGAUGCCCGGGAACAGUGCCUAUUUGUAGAGCACUUACUUGGUACUAGUGCUAUGCUAAAUGCUGUGCUGACAUGGAUUCAUUUAUCCCGGCAGUAAUCCCUUGAGGUAGCUAUUAUCCUCAUAUAUUCUGGUAUUAUUACUCUCCUCACCAUACAGACAAGGAGAAGGAGGCCCAGAGACCUUCCACACCUCACCCAGCGUCUCCUGGAUGGUACAUGGAUCGUGGAGACAGGCUUUGCACCCAGUGCUCAGGAAGCUCCCUGCUUUGGGCCCCAGGUCAGGCGAGUGAGGGUGUAUGGGACUGGGGGUCAGAUCCUCCUGGUAUCCACCCAGCACAGCUUCCGUGUCGCAAGCUUAGUCUCCAGCUCACAGAGGCCUGAGGAAAUUGGUUGCUUCAUCGGUGCCACCACUGGUCCUCGUGAAAAGAGAAUGGCAGUGGGGCCUAAGGGAAGUCGAGCCACAUGUGAGAAGAGAGUGGGGAUGAGCUUAGCACAUCGGAUUUUAACCUGCUAGUCCUGGGCCUCUCCUGUGCGCCCUAAGACCAGUGUCCGGGCAUCGGCACCUGACCUCCUUGGGUGUGCUAGGGGGAGCAUCCUGUGACAGGCUACUGGACAGGUGUCCCCAGGUAGGCAAGGACCUCAGCGCCAGGAUAAAGGGUGUAGAUCUAAUUAUGGUGGCCACUGGUUCUCAACUCCGGUAAUUGACCUCCUGCUUGCCUGAUUCUUACGAUGUCAGAAGACAAUACGUAGCUUGAGUUAAGUACCUUAUACAAUUAAAAAGGCUUACUGUUUUAUUUACAUAAAUUUACUUUAAGGGAAAAAAUGCCUCCAUCAUAAAUGAGAAAGUAGGGUAAUUUUCCAUACAUAGCCAUCACCAACUCUAAGGGCAAAAAAGUAAAUAAAAAGAAUGAAGACGAAGUUCUGAGGCUGAAGCUUUCCCUUCCUUUGGUGAAAAGGGAAACUGGCAAAGGUUAGAGAUGGGUUUGCGGAGCUGAACAGAGAGUGUUUCUCUGUUACUGAAUGGGAAGGGCUGAAGAUGGUCAGGGAAGGAAUAUGUAACUCUGUGGCUGAAGGGUGUUUCAGACUGUGCCUGUGGACCGCCCUGUCAUCAUUUCAAGGGCCCACUUUGAUCUCUGAAUUUUAGGGAACCCUCCUGCAGCAACAAAAAUGCAGAGAUGAGUUUUUAGAUAAACUUUAUUUUUAAUAGGUUUUAUUUUUAGAACCUUCUUAGAUUUACAGACAAAUUGAGCAGAUAGUCCGGUGAGUUCCCAUAUAAACUUCCUUCCCACACAGAUACAGUUUCCUCUGUUAUCGUACAUGUUAUCUUACAUUCACAUGGUAUACUGUCACCAAUGGAACAGACACAAAUAAACUGUUAUUAACGGAAGCCUAUUCUUCAUGUAUGUAAGGCCGGACCCCGGGGGCCAUGAAGGGCCGCCCCUCCUUUCCCUCCCGCCGGCGGGGGACGUCCCUAACGGAAGGAGCCUCCCAGAUCCCGGGGACCAAUGACAGCACACUUCACCAGCUAAAGCCGCCCCACCCCAGCCAUGUAGAAGGACCUGUCCGCCCGCGACACCUCGGCCUGGCGACCUAUCCAACCCCUGUCCAUCUAGCCUGACCAUCCCUCGCAAGGAACGUAUAAAAAGCACCCCCAACACGGUCCGGGCACAGACUUCUUCGCCCUGCCUCACUCGGGUCUGGGAACCCCGCCCCGGAGCGCUUCACCAUUAAAAAGCCUGUUAGACACUCUUUUGGUGUCCUGGUCGUCUUUACCUAACAAUGUGGGCUUCUUUAGUUUUAACCUAAGGUCCUUGCUCUGUUCCAGGAACUCCUCCAGAGUCUACAUUGCACUUCGUUGUCACAUCCCCAUGAGUUACACUCUUUGUUUUUGGUGAUCUUGACAGUUUUGAAGAGUGCGGGUGAGGAUACUGUAGGUUGCCCCUCUCCUGGGAUGUGUGUGAUCCUCCAUGGUUAGAUGGGGCGUAUGGGCUAUGGGCGGAAAACCGCAGAGGUAAGCUGACACUUUCAUUAGGUAUCACGGUACAUGGUUUCAACCUUGGUUUUGGCUGUUUGCGGUUGACCUCGAGCGAUCACCUGACCGAGGUGGUGUUUUGGGCUGCUGCACUGUAGUCAGUCUUUCCGCUUUACGAUAGUGUGUUGCAGUGCAGAGAUAAAGGAUCAAAUCUCUCAGAUGGAACUUUCUGCUGGAAGUGUAGAGAACACCCUGGCUAGAGAAGAAAAUUACUCUUCAAGUCUUUUGGAUCAAAACUGUCUAAAUCGCCGGCCCACUGAUUUGGUCUGUGUUUUGGACAAGCCAGUUUCUCUUCCGUUAGAGAGGGCUUUGUCACCUCUGGCCUUGCGUUCUCCUGUUAAGUUACUUCAGCAUCUAUGGCAGGAGUGAGUCUUGUGAGUGGACAGACCAUUUCCCUGGUGCAGGGCAGGGCAAAGCCAGCAUCGCUGCAGGUUAAAAACAGAUGCUGACUGUGCCAGCACUCUGGCUGUGCUUAGAAAGGACUCAGAAAAGAAACUUCGCAUAAACUCAAGACAGAACCUCUGUGUCUGCAUAACUCACUGGAUAAGGGUGUUAUGGCUGUUUGAGAAGUGAAACAUGAGUGCUUAUUUGAAUAAAUUUAACUGUUGGAUUGUUUCAUUCUUUUGCAAGUACCCAUCCCCCCACCAAAGAAUUCUUCAAAAGUCUUUGAAGAACAAAAACAUAACACAAGACAACUUGAGCAAAAAUAAAUAUUUGCAGGCACAUACACAUAACGUGGCUUCAUGCAGUGAACAGUUCACACGUAGUGAGUUUCAGGAGUGGCCUGUUCCAGGGGCUCAAAUGACUUCUUAAUGUCCUUUUCUUGGUUUUGCUCCCUUCCUGGUAUUCCAUUCUUGAGCAGCCUCAAAGUUUCAGGUGAGACCCUAGGCCCCACACCCCUCUCCCUAAGGGAGGAGCCAUGUACUCCUCCCCGCUAGGUGUGGAGCCCACCUCAAUCUUGUGGACUGAGAAAGGGGAAGGGAUGGACUCCCAGACAAGAAAGGAAAAUGAUGCUGAGGAGGCAAACAUCAAAGGCACAGCCAUGUGACGUAGUCACAGUAAAACAUUGAGGCUGGUUUAUUUUACCUUUGACUAGAGCCUUGACCCAGAAGGGAGCAACAGGAUAUCUGUUCUGAUAGAAACAUUAGACUGGAAAUCAAGACAUAAGUAAAAUCUCUUAGUUUAUAACCAUUUUGUUACAGCUGCUCAGUGGUAGCCUGCCACUGGAUAACUGCAUGUUUUCUCCAUGUCCGAAUCUAACCGGCAGAAAUAACGUAUCUCUUAACUACCUGAUAUAGUACAUGAGAAGAUACAAUAAGACAGUAAAUGAGAAAAUGUUGAGAAAAAAUAUUUUAGCAACAGAACUCUGUCCACAAUUCUAACAAAGUCCUCGGAUGACUUGUUUCAGUUCUGAGAGCCAGUUUGCGCAGAAGGCAGUCUUCUUCCUUGGUGGCUCAUCUAUACAGUAUUCAGGCAGAUAUAUCAAGACUUUAGGAUAAAAGCUGUUGAGAAAGAAUUACUGCUAUUUUCCACAACACAGAUGGAUCUCCCACAGCAUUAGGUGAAAGCAGAUGAACACAAGUGAAUACACUGUACGAUUCCAUUUACACAAGUCUCAGAAACACACGAAUUUCAUCUGUGGGGUUAGAAAUCAGGAUGAUGUUUAACCUUUGUGCAGUAAGGGCACAAGAGAAGGUUCGUGGGAUGCUGGCCGUACCCUGAUUCUUGACCUGGAAGUUGGUUACAUGGUUAUGUUCCGUUUAUGAAGAUUCAUCAAGUGACAUAAUUUCUCUACUCUUGUGUCUCUAUGUUGUCGUCGCUCAGUCGUGUCCAACUCUUUGUGACCCCACGCGCCAGGCUCCUCGGUCCAUGGGAUUUCCCAGGCAAGAAUACUGGAGCGGGUUGCCAUUUCCUUCUCCAGGGGAUCCUCCUGACCCAGGGAUCAAACUCUUGUCUCCAGCAUUGGCAGGUUUUCUAUCUUGAAAGUGAGAGGAAUAACAACAUCCAACCACCUAUCUCAUCCGGGUCUUGAGUGGCUUAACGGGGUCAUGUUUGUAAGGUCCUGGAAAACUCUCAGGAGAGAAAGUUGUACCACUUUUCCACUUUCGCCUGGGCCAUGAAGACUUAUAAUGAGUGCAAGUCUCCGACUGAGCAAAUCCUAACUCAUUGGAGCUUGUGCUUAACCAGAAGCUGGCUUAUCCUGACUGUCCAUUCACAAUACCCACAUUUUGUAAGUACUCUAGAUUUAGAAAAAUGGGAAAUUAAAAGCAAACAACUCAGCAUCAGUUUAUACAAAUUCCUAGAGUGUAAUUUUUUGUCAGUACUAAUCUAGUUCAAUCCCCUGACUUUCUAAAGGCAAUAACCACAGAGUACUGAUCUGAGCAGAUGGUGACUGCAGCCAUGAAAUUAAAAGAUGCUUGCUCCUUGGAAGAAAAGCUAUGACAAACCUAGAGAGCAUAUUGAAAGGCAGAGAUGUUACUUUGCAGACAAAUGUCUGUAUAGUCAAAGCUGUGGUUUUUCCAGUAGUCAUGUAUGGAUGUGAGAUUUGGACCAUAAAGAAGGCUAAGAGCUGAAGAAUUGAUGCUUUUGAACUGUGGUGUUGGAGAAGACUCUUGAGAGUCUCUUGGACUGCAAGGAGAUCAAACCAGUCAAUCCUAAAGGAAAUCAAUCUUCAGUAUUCAUUGGAAGGACUGAUGUUCAAGCUGAAAUUCCAAUACUUUGGCCACCUGAUAUGAAGAACUGACUCAUCAAAAAAGACCCUGAUGCUGGGAAGGAUUGAAGGCAGGAGCAGAUGGGGACGACAGAGGAUAAGAUGGUUGGAUGCCAUCACCGACUCAAUGGACAUGAGCUAGAGCAGGCUCUAGGAGGUGGUGAAGGACAGGGAGGCCUGGAAUGCUGCAGUCCACGGGGUGGCAAAGAGUCGGACAUGACUGAGUGUCUGAACAACAACAACAACUGCUUUGAGCAGCUGACAUCCACUAAGAAGGAACUACACGCCAAGCAUCGUGCUAAACUCUGCGAAUAUAUGUUCUCAUUUAAUGAGAAAAUGCCAGUGAGGUAGGUGCCAUUAGUAACCUUUUCCCAGAGGGAAACCAAGCUUUAGUAAGGUUAUCCAUCCAUACAGUUAUGAAAUAAAGAAGACAGAUGGCAAUCCUUGACUCUGACUCCAGAGUCCUGUUCUAACCUAUUACUAUCCAACAUAAAAUAAAGUGAGCCAUGCAUACGGUUUUAAAUUUGCUAGGAGC
ensembl:lncRNA